rnacentral:lncRNA from 1 species
AUUAAAUAAACGGACUUCACCACGGUCAUCAGCAUAAUAUUCCGGUCCCGGGCCAUCUCAGUUGAAUUUUCGGAAAAUAAAUAAUUAUUUAAUUUAAUUUCGAAAAUUCAUAUUUAAAUACUAAAAAUUCCACUUAGGCCCGAAAAGCCUAAUUGGAGCCCACUAAGGGUCGGGAAAAAUCCCGAGGCACUUCCAAUAAUUAGUAGACCACGUCUACUUGCUAAUUACGCAAUCAAUUUAUCUAAAUC